CCUCGGCUCUCCACGAGCAAAGCCAAGUCAAGCAAGAGCAGGCGGGCGAGUCCCGUCGAAGAGCAGUCAGGACCGCGCGCACUCCGCCGCCCGCAACCAGAGGGGAAGGAGCCGGCGGCAUGCGCCUGGCUCCCGGGUAGAAAGAGAAGGAAGGAGCCGCGGUUGGAGCGAGCUUUCCAAACCGCUCCUGGGCAACUUGGCCGUGUCUUCUUUUACGACCAGCGUGCUGACUCCCGGCUUGUGGCGAUGUUACAUCUUGGGACAAGUUGACAGUAUCUUUCAGAUGAACCUCUGCUUAAAAAUAUGCCAUUUGUACAUGCUACUCAGUCUUCUUGAAACAUGGGUGAAAAAGACAACGAUAAGUACAACCAAGCUAAUCAAAUAUUUGAAAGCUUUGUUCAAGCUCAAACAUGCAAAGGUUCGAUACAGGCUUUUAAUAUUCUCACUCGCCAUCUUGAAUUAGAUCCUUUGGACAACAGGAACUUUUAUGUCAAACUUAAAUCAAAAGUGACCAGCUGGAAGGCCAAAGCUUUGUGGAAUAAGCUAGAUAAAAGGGCAAGCCAUAAGGAAUAUAAACGUGGAAAAUCUUGUACAAACACAAAGUGUUUGAUUGUUGGAGGUGGUCCCUGUGGCUUGCGAACUGCCAUAGAACUUGCCUUUCUUGGAGCCAAAGUCGUUGUCGUAGAAAAACGAGAUACUUUUUCAAGAAACAAUGUACUUCACCUCUGGCCGUUUACAAUUCAUGAUCUUCGAAGUCUGGGAGCUAAAAAAUUUUAUGGAAAAUUUUGUGCCGGAUCGAUUGAUCACAUUAGCAUUAGACAACUUCAGCUUACCCUCUUCAAGAUUGCACUGCUGCUGGGAGUUGAAAUCCAUGUGAACUUAGAAUUUGUGAAAGUUUUGGAACCUCCUGAAGAUCAAGAAAAUCAAAAAAUAGGUUGGAGAGCUGAAUUUUUUCCAAUGGAUCAUCCCUUAUCAGAAUUCGAAUUUGAUGUCAUAAUUGGAGCUGAUGGCCGAAGAAAUAGUUUGGAAGGUUUUAAAAGAAAGGAAUUUCGUGGAAAGCUAGCUAUCGCCAUUACUGCCAACUUUAUAAACAAAAAUACCACAGCAGAAGCCAAAGUGGAGGAGAUUAGUGGUGUUGCUUUCAUUUUUAAUCAAAAAUUCUUCCAAGAUUUGAAAGAAGAAACAGGAAUUGACCUAGAAAAUAUUGUUUACUAUAAAGAUAGCACACAUUACUUUGUGAUGACUGCAAAAAAACAGAGCCUUCUGGAUAAGGGUGUCAUUAUUAACGAUUUUAUUGAUACCGAAAUGCUACUGUGUGUGGAAAAUGUAGACCAAGACAAUCUAUUGUCCUAUGCAAGAGAAGCUGCCGACUUUGCAACUGAUUAUCAAUUGCCUGCCUUAGAUUUUGCAAUUAAUCACUAUGGACAACCAGAUGUGGCCAUGUUUGAUUUUACUUCUAUGUAUGCCUCUGAAAAUGCUGCAUUAGUACGUGAGAGGCAUCGGCAUCAACUGUUGGUUGCUCUUGUUGGAGACAGUUUAGUAGAGCCGUUCUGGCCAAUGGGUACUGGUUGUGCAAGAGGAUUCCUAGCUGCAUUUGACACAGCUUGGAUGGUGAAAAGCUGGGCACAAGGAAAGUUCCCUCUUGAUAUCCUAGCAGAAAGGGAAAGUAUUUAUAGACUCUUACCUCAGACAACACCUGAAAAUAUCACUAAGAAUUUUGACCAAUACACUAUUGACCCUGCCACACGAUAUCCGAAUUUGAACUCAAGUUGUGUUCGACCUCAUCAGGUGAAACAUUUAUAUAUUACAAAUGAGCUGCAGCCGUGCCUACUAGAAAGAGCAAAUACCAUUAGAAGAUCAAUUGGCCUUUCAAAACGUGAAUAUGACAUAAGGCCCAACAAACUUUUAACCUGGUGUCAGAAACAGACCGAAGGAUACAAGAAUGUGAACGUCACAGAUCUUACCAGUUCGUGGAAAAGUGGCCUUGCCUUAUGUGCGCUUAUACAUCGCUUCAAACCUGACCUCAUUGACUUUGAUUCCCUGAAUGAAGAAGACGCAGUCGAAAACAACCAGCUAGCAUUUGAUAUUGCUGAACGUGAAUUUGAAAUUCCUCCUGUCACAACUGGGAAAGAAAUGGUGUCUGCUGGAGAGCCUGAUAAACUCAGUAUGGUCAUGUAUCUGUCAAAAUUCUAUGAGCUAUUUAGGGGGACACCUCUGAGAGCAGUGGGUACCAUGGUAAAGCAAAAUGGAGAAAUAAUUGAUCCUUCUUCAACAAAAUCAUCCAAAUUUGGCUGUAAUAAUUACAUAAACUUGACAUUUCCAAGGAAGAGAAUACCAAAAGUGGAAGAAAAUGAAACCAGUAAAAGGCGACGCAAAAGUUUCAUCAGUUUUGAAGAGUCUUCAAAUUAUUUUAAUCAAGAAAGAAAUUCUAGUAAUCGACCAAGGGAUAUGAAAGGAACAAUAAAUCGAAACAAAGUGAAAUCAAUGGCAACACAGCUCUUAGCCAAGUUCGAAGAAAAUGCACCCAAUGUUUCAUUAAGGAGACAGGAGCCGGUAAAUAGACCAGGCUUGCUUCUUUCUUCUGAAUCUCCUAUAAAUCCUCGCUUUGCUAAACCCAAGGAGACAACCGAUAAUCUGCCAUCUCCACCAAAGAAACAGAUAUCCUUUGUUGGAAGAGAGGCCACUGGCUUCCUUUGUGGUGUUUCCCAGUCUCAGGCCAUAGCUAAGAUGGACUGCAUUGUCAGGAAGCCCUUGCAGCCUUUGUCGGAUGAGCAACCACUGGCCAAGCCUUUGAGAUGCAAAGAACCAAGCGAGCAGAAAUCUAGAGUCUCUGAAACUCUUGCCUCUUCCUGUCCUGCUGCCCUUGCACUUUCUGGUGUGCUUCAGCGCCUUCAGGAUGUGGAGGAAAAAAUUAAUCAGAAAAAAGCUCAGUCCGUAGCCAAUAGAGAAUUUCAUAAAAAGAGCAUUAAAGAGAAAGCAGCUCAUCUGGCCUCCUUGUUUGGUUGUGUUGACAUCCCCAAGAAUCCACUUCCUACUAAAGGUCUCUCUCAUUCUCAGCUCCCAUCUCCCGCUUGCCUGCCAUCUCAUGAUUCAGCUGCUUCCUCUUCAUCAAUAAACUCUGUUUACUCUGCUAUUCUUUCUGAAAAGAUGACAGUAGGGAAGGUGUCUCAUGGAAUAGAUGCUGUAGCACAAAUCCUUGUCAAUCUAUACAGGAAUGAUCACAAGCCUAAUCCAUUACCUGCAUCUUUGCAAUUGGGAUCUUUGAAAAGAGAAUUUCCUCAGACAAUAGGUGGAAGCGAAACCUGCUAUUUCUGUAAGAAAAGAGUUUAUGUCAUGGAACAAUUGAGCGCGGAAGGCCACUUCUUCCACCGAGAAUGCUUCAAAUGUGUCAUUUGUGCGACCACUCUCCGCCUAGCUACAUAUACCUUUGAUGCACAAGAAGGUAAUUUUUACUGCAAGCUUCAUUUUGCACAAUGUAAAACAAAGAAUACGCACAGAAAGAAGAAAGUGGAAAUAAAGGAGGAAGCAGGAUUUCAGAGGCAUCAAGAACCCAUGUGUGAAGAAACUAGCUCAGAAAGUGCUUUUGCUACUAGUAGCAGUUCAGAAGACCAGUCGCCAGGUAUCCUGCCUUCAUUCUUUGGGAAAACUCUAUGCUGGCCUCUUAAGGUGACCAGGGAUCUGCUUGACCUUCCAAGACGCCUCUCUAACUGGAUGCAUGGUUUCCUGCACGCAACCAGACUUCAUUUCAGGGACAAUGCAUACAACUAUAUCUACUUGUAUGAACUCCUAAGCUUUAGCAUGCCAUUCUUUUUUGUGCUUCAGGAGUUACUUGGCAAUUUUUACGGGGAAGUGGAGUUGUCAUAUGAGGAUAUGCUUGAAUCGGUGAAGAAAUUUUUCAAGCUUUAAAAUUCUUCUGAAUCUUGGUUGUGCCUUUCAGAUUUCCAAAACAAACAGCUUUGGGGUUUUGCACAAAUAUAAAUAUUUCAAUUCAGUAGGUGCUUUAAAUGAGCCCAGAGCUCCAUGGUGCAAUUGUAAAAUCAUUCAUUUAUUAUUAUGAUGAUUAUUGGAUCAUGAAUGUUAGUGUCCGAAUUCAUUUCUCAACCAUGGAGACGCUAUGAAGGAUAGUUUUAUAGAUUUUUUUAAAAAAAUUACGUGACGGAUCUAUUUCUAGUUAAAAAACAGAUAUUCCUCUAUGUUUACAUUUUGAUAUUCUUAUUUUAAUGACUGUGAAAGGAAGAACUUUCAUACAUAGGGCAAUAGUAAAUUUUUACUAUGUGGAGUUUUUUUUUGAAAACUGAAUGUGGCACAUACUUUUUCUACUUUUGCUUUAUCUAUGGGGCUACUGUCUGCAUCAGGUUUUUUUAAAAAGUUGAAAUGUAUACUUAGCCCAUAAUAGUUGUCUUGACGUCUCUUUGACAGACCCUUUGUGAACACUGGGCAUUUUCUGUAAUAUUUAUGAAUUAAUUCAAAGAGUAAAUAUUAGACAAUUAAUUAAAAUAAACCAAAGUACAACAAUAGCCUAUAUUUAUUUUUUCUCAAAUCAAGGGGCAAUUUUGUUAAUUUAUAUUAGAGUUGAUCUAGAGCUGAUAUGGAAGGUAAGAUGUAUCUAUGUUAGAAUACUUUUUCUUCAGUCAAUCUUUUCAAAGUUGUAAAGAUCAGAAUAGUAUAAAAAUGGAAUAAUUUGAAAAAGAGGGAGAAUUUUUCAGUUUCUGUUAUUGACUUCAUAGAACUUUUUGACACCAUAGAGUCUCAUAGAAAUUAGGAUAUGGCUGAGAAUUAUAUUCACUUGAUAUAAAAGCCACAUUUGACUGAAAGAGAAAAGGUAUAGGGCCUUAAAUUUAUUUUGCCAUUAUAGAAGAUUUAUCCACAUAUCUGUGGAUAAAUUUAAGAUAUAAAUAAUUAAUAGGAUCCUUUUAGUUGACUGUCUUAUUGCCCUAAUUUAUCUUUGAAGAAUACGUGCUUCUUCAAAGUUUUGGGAAAUAGCUGUAAAAAUAAAGUCCAAUUAUGAGGCUUGUACACUCUUUAAAAAGUUCAGAUGAUCAUAGCUGUUGGCUCCUGAAAUUAAAACCAAUUUGACUUUUGGCUGAUAGAAAAACAGCUCACCUGGAAUAUAUCUCUGGUUCUCUAUACCCAUCCUGCAGCUAUUCAAUUACAUAAAUAUUAUUUGUAUAAUGUAAUCUUAAUUUACCAUUAAACAGAAUAAAAACAACUUCAUAAAACCCAUCAAUAAAGAUUUAAUUUAGAGCUAGCCUGUUAAAGGAUUAACUGGUACAUUGGAAUUAUUCUUAAAUAUACAUGCUGUUCUAUUUUCACCUUUAGUCUCAUGGAUUCCUACUUGGAAAAUUGUCCUAUUUGUUUCAUUGGAAUGGAGAGAUGUAGUGUUAAGCACAGUACAUGACAAUAAUCUUUAAUUAAAUGAACAAUGAUGAUGAAAAGAGGCUUUUAAAAUUAUUUUUAAAAGAGGGCUAAUAUUUGCUCUGUUAAUGAUUUGCUUGCAUAUAAGAAUUUUAGGUGGUCCAAUUCAAAUGCUGUGAUAUUGUGAACCCUCUGAAAUAGUAAAGGGAUUUGUGUGACACCCCUCCAUGAAUAAAACCAAUGAGUUCCUCCUCGCUAUUAAUAGUAAUUGUGCCAUUAGGUACACAGAAAGCCAGAACCCACUGAGAAUUCAGUUCUACUGCUAGCUUGUCUAGGCACAAUGGUGCUUUUAGGUGCUCAAUUCCUAAGAAGCAUGCCCGAAUGUGCAUCAUCUGACAGAUGAGACCAUGGAGCAAGGGACUAGAUCCAGGGAAGAACAGGGUGGAAAAAGGAGCUAAAUUAUCAGAAGCCAGUGUGGACUGUGGAAACUCAGAGUACUGCUGUACCAAUAAACAAGGCUUCUUUUAACAAUGGAAAGGCUUGUUGGAUCUCCAUCCUCUAUCCCUUGGACCUGGGAUCAAGGCUUUCUGGUCACCUCUCUUCUGCAGUGAUGAGCAGCAGAGGUAGGGAAGCUGUAAACAGUAUUUCCUACUCUCGCAUGACUAGUUUCUUGAGACUACUCUACUAUCCCCUCUUGCCAUACAAUUGUACUGCCUAUGGUGUGGCCACUGAUUUGCCCAGGCAGAGUAAGAUGGUAUUUGACAACAAUUCAGGUUUGUCUGGGAUUACAAAUUUGAGUCUUAGUCUGUCUCAACAUACCAGCAGCUGCAUUACUGAAUUCCCUUUUCCCCUGAUUGCCAUGUUUUUCUUGAUAUUCUUCAAGAAGAGAGCAGCCUACCAUAUAGGCCACUUACUGAGGCACCCUAUGUUUCCAAAGCGAAAGGCCACUUACUGAGGCACCCUAUGUUUCCAAAGUGCUCUCCUGCAAGACCAAUUUUCUGGGACCUUCAUCUUGCCCACCAUGGCUUUGAGCCUGGCUCUGGGCAAGCCUGCCUUUUUCCUCCCAGUUAGUAAAAUCAAGGCUCCCCACUCCUCACCCCUAAUCUGCCUAUCUGAGCAUGAUCUUCCUGCCUUGCCUUUCUGCUUGGCUUUCCUCUUCUCCCCAGUCAUGUUUCCCCAGCUGUCUGUAUAUUAUUUCUCCUCCUGCCCUUGAAAAUUUGCAGCCCUCCCAUUUAUCAAUUUAUGAUGGGCAAGCUCUAAACGUGUGAACCCACCCUUCCCCAUCCCCCAUAAAAACCUCUGUAGUUAUUUCAAGGUCUCCCUAGCACAUAGUUUCUGCUUAUGCAACAGUUUUCGGUGUCCACCCCCCCACCCCAUGCCUUUUUCAGAGUUUCCAAUUCUAAGAAGAUGUAAGAGAAGGGAAAUUUGAUCUAGCAGCAUCUUGUGCUGGCUAAUGGAUACAACUCUGCAGUCCAUAUCACAAGUUGAACCUGAAUAAAAUUUAGCUCUCUGCUAUGAAUUAUUUUAGGGCAACUUCAAGGGUGAAGAAGUAAGAGAACACAAAUACGUUUUGCACUGCUUGCUUCAGUGUAUCUUACAUUGAAAAAAAAAUAAUUUCAACCUUAUUAAAUUAUGUUCAUAUUUUAUUUGCCUAUAAUUUGACUUGUUAGUUGCACAAUCAUUAAUUACCCUGUUUCCCCCAAAAUAAGACAUCCCCUGAUAAUAAGCCCAAUCGGGCUUUUUAGCGCAUGGCAGUAAGGCCAAACUCUUAUUUCAGGGUUCAAAAAAAUAUAAGACAGGGUCUUAUUUUCGGGGAAACAUGGUCUUACAACUUCAACUGAUUUGUGUAUCAAAAAUUUAUCACAAAUGAAACUCUUCAAACACUUCCGGUAUUAUCUAAUAGUCUGAAUGCAAUGCAUAGAAAAGGAGGGUCCAUUUAUAUUAUUUGAAGCCACUGAUAAUCAUUACACAAUACAGUUUUGUUUAUCCAGUUGUUUAUCUCACUCCAAGGGGGACUUAUUAUCCAACCAUUUCCGAAGGUGUGUUUGAUCACUGUAAAAAGGCCAGAAUUUUCUUUUGAGUUAUGUCCAGUCACAUGUACACAAAUAACUAUGUUCUAUUUGGCUACGGUAUUUUGUUACUUCCUUGUCCUUUGCACAUUAAAUGAAGGUUUCUUAGAAAAGCUUUAGAGGUGGCUUUGGGGUUAAAAAAGAAGAUGUGACCAAUAUAUUGUACAUGUAAAUCCAAAUUCAGUCUCAGAUAAAUGCAGAAUCAUUUAUUUUGGCUUAGUCAUAUUCGAAAUCGAUCGUUUGAAGUCCGUUGCCAUUUCACAGUCUUUGAUAGCUACUAUUAUUUGAUACUUGAAAUUUAAUAAAUGUGGUUAUUUAAUAUUUUUGGCUGAUCAGAAAGAAGAAUUACUGUUCAUUUGUUCUAUUUUACGGUAUCAGUGCAAUGUAUCUAGUGCUAUGUAACCAAAGAUUUACAGUUAGCUUGUUCUGACUACUUUCUUUUUCCAAUAUUUUACAUUGUCUUUAGUUCAUUUCAACAUUCCAGUGCUACAGCCCCUCACUGGCUGAACCAUUUCUGGUAUCUACUCAUCUCUUAAACAAUACCAGUGGGAAUUCUCUUCCUCUACUCCUUGUCACUUAAAAUGUUUCUGGAACUUAAUUAAGCAUUUUUGUUAGAGUGUUCUUUUUUUAAAAAAAAAUGUAUAUAAAAAUUUCACAUGGAAAUUUGUAUUUUGCACAGAUUUAAUGUUUAACUUUCUAAUGUGACUGUUAAGAAAUAAAUUCAGUUCUCCUAAA